AUUGAACGCUGGCGGCAGGCCUAACACAUGCAAGUCGAACGAGUGGCGGACGGGUGAGUAAUGCCUGGGAAACUGCCCGAUGGUGGGGGAUAACUACUGGAAAUGGUAGCUAAUACCGCAUACCAUCGGAUGUGCCAAGAUGGGAUUAGCUAGUAGGUGGGGUAACGGCUCACCUAGGCGACGAUCCCUAGCUGGUCUGAGAGGAGGACCAGACACACUGGAACUGAGACACGGUCCAGACUCCUACGGGAGGCAGCAGUGGGGAAUAUUGCACAAUGGGCGCAAGCCUGAUGCAGCCAUGCCGCGUGUAUGAAGAAUGCCUUCGGGUUGUAAAGUACUUUCAGCGAGGAGGCGUUACUCGCAGAAGAAGCACCGGCUAACUCCGUGCAAGCAGCCGCGGUAAUUC
rnacentral:rRNA from 1 species